CCAAUAGCGUAUAUUAAAGUUGUUGCAGUUAAAAAGCUCGUAGUUGAAUUUCGGGAUCAGUGAGUUGGUCGUGCCUCCGGUAUGCACUGGCUUUACUGGUUCCUCCUUCUUGAAGAACUGUAAUGUCAUUAAUUUGGUGUUGCAGGGAAACAGGACUGUUACUUUGAAAAAAUUAGAGUGUUUAAAGCAGGCUAACGCUUGAAUACAUUAGCAUGGAAUAAUGAAAUACGACGUUUGAUCCUAUUUUGUUGGUUUCUAGGAUUGACGUAAUGAUUAAUAGGGAUAGUUGGGGGCAUUAGUAUUCAAUUGUCAGAGGUGAAAUUCUUGGAUUUAUUGAAGACUAACUACUGCGAAAGCAUUUGCCAAGGAUGUUUUCAUUAAUCAAGAACGAAAGUUAGGGGAUCGAAGACGAUCAGAUACCGUCGUAGUCUUAACCAUAAACUAUGCCGACUAGGGAUCGGAUGAUGUUAAUUUUUUAAUGACUCAUUCGGCGCCUUACG
rnacentral:rRNA from 1 species